UACAGAGGUCUCAAGCGUUGUUCGGAUUCAUUGGGCGUAAAGGGUGCGUAGGCGGCGCGGUAAGUCGGGGUGUGAAAUCUCGGAGCUUAACUCCGAAACUGCAUUCGAUACUGCCGUGCUUGAGGACUGGAGAGGAGACUGGAAUUUACGGUGUAGCGGUGAAAUGCGUAGAUAUCGUAAGGAAGACCGUGGCGAAGGCGAGUCCCUGGACACUUCCUGACACUGAGGCACGAAAAGCUAGGGGGGAGCAAAACAGGAUUAGAAA
rnacentral:rRNA from 1 species